AUAUGCAUCACAGUUGAAAAUGUGAUGCAUCCACGGGGACUCAGAAAAAGUGUAAAUACUUUUUGUAAAAAUUCCAAUCAAGUGACAAUACGUUAUCACUGAGUUUGCUACUAGCUGGGUUAUGGUAUUAUUUGCAAUUUAAUUACUGUAACAAUGUGAUGAUCAUGAUACACAAUAAAA